ACAAUGAAAGACUGUUGCAUACACCUCACAAUCCCAUAUCUUUAGCUAUGACACUUAAAACACUAGAUGAACACCGUGACAAAGCUGUCACUCAGCUUGGCUCGAUGCUUUUUACCAGACAGGUUUCUGGAGCCAGGUAAGUAUGUUUAAGAUAGAUAUGGGUUUAUUUGUCUUUUCAAACUUAACUCCAGUAAAAUACCUUUCCUCAACAAUAGUCCCCCAAGUAUAUCCUGAACUAUACCUGCGAAUUCAUCAUGGAGUAAAGAAUGAUGAGUUAGAGAAUCUGUAAGGCUACUGUAUGCCCACCUGUGGACUGCUUAUGCCUGAAAUAGUCACAAAAAGACAUGAAUCUUGUUUGUUUUCAUAGAUGUACAGAACCAAAGUUUUAUUACCUCUCUACAUAGAUUUUUUUCUUUAUUUCCUUUGUUAGAUGAUCUUCAGCAAGUCACAUUAUGGUAUUAGAGAUAAGCCAUCUUCAUCACUAAAUUGAAGUGAAAGUGUUCUUAAGGAAAAGCCUUCUUCCUAAACU
rnacentral:lncRNA from 1 species